rnacentral:lncRNA from 1 species
GCCUACGUAGGAUUUAUAUAGGCAGAUGGCCCCCAAUUUUUGAAAAAUAAUAAGAUCGAUGUCAGUGUUGAAAAUCGACAGUUUUCACUAAAAUAAACUUUAAACUGCCGAACUGUGUCGUUUUUAAUAAUAACACAUUCUCAGUAUUGAUGUAAAAUGGAUUUAAAAUACGACCGGUACAGGCAUUUCGCGUUAAAAUUGCUGAAUUCGGCCAUUUCAGACUCAAACUUCGCUUAUUAGCAACCCUUGCUUCAAGUAACAAUUUAUAACAACUAUUUCAUUUGUUAAUUCUAUUUAAUAUUUUCCUAACCAGAAACUGAAGCAAGGGUUGCUAAUAAAUGAAUUUUGGAAAAAAUGAUAUUAUUUGUCUGGCCUUUCUCACGUAUAAGAGUGGCCUCCCUUGAAGCCAGGUGCUCGUUGCCAGGCAAUAUUACAGGUGGCGCCGCUGUCAACAUGUGCAUGUGAAAACGAAAGUAGAUUGUUUAUCUAGGAAUUAUUACAACAUUUUACCCUUCUACGUUGAAUUUUUAAGAUAUAAUAGUAUGAAUAUAGAGAUGAUUAUUUAGUUACCUUCAACUGGUCAGUGGUCAAAAGGGAGUAUGUCUGUGUGUCUUGAAGCAUUGAAUGCCCCCAAAACAACCAGUAUGAUAAGAAGGUAUACUAUGUAGGUUGAAAACAGCCAUGGACAAUGAAUUUGGAGGUGCAUACUGGAGCAUCAGAAAUUACAUACUUGGAAUAAAUAAUUGCACAAUACACAUUUACUGAGAAGUGACUAAUGUUUAUGUUAAAGUGCAAUAUCCAUGUUUGUAACAUUUACAUGGGGGUAAUAGUUACAGUGUUGAAAGAGACUACCAGUGUUACAUUUCAAACUAAGUUACAGUGUGGAUGCUAAUUCUAAAUUCUUGAUAAUCAGGUGUUUUAAUAAUUUAUGAAUACUAAUUAUUUAUCAAACUGUUUAAUUUUAUCACAUUCCUACAUCAUUAUUUUAUAUAAAAUGCUUGUAGUUAUAUAAUAUAUGUCAGGUUAAAUGGUAAUAAAUUUUGUUUCUGUGUAAAUAUCUUGCUUUUUGAAAAAUGAAAAUGAUACAUUCAGUGGCCAUCAUCUGUCAAAAAUUUAUUAUAAAUGCAACAAAACUGAUGAAAAGAUAGGCAGUUACUUUUCACAAGUUCAUGGAAUAGUUGAAUAUACAUAACAUUGUAUAGUUUUCCUAACUUGUAUCUGGGGCCAUCAUAAAUUAAUUGCUAGAUUAAAUUUUCUUCACAAGAUUUCAGAUCAGAUAUUUUAUUUUUGCUUUAAUGAGGUUUUAAAGAGAAAAAAUGACAUAAUUAUAAUAGUUAUUUUUGUCAAAUGG